rnacentral:rRNA from 1 species
AACAAACUCUUUUGAAUUUUUCAGUAUCUUCUGAGUAAAAAAAACAAUAAAUCAAAACUUUCAACAACGGAUCUCUUGGUUCUGGCAUCGAUGAAGAACGCAGCGAAAUGCGAUAAGUAAUGUGAAUUGCAGAAUUCAGUGAAUCAUCGAAUCUUUGAACGCACAUUGCGCCCGCCAGUAUUCUGGCGGGCAUGCCUGUUCGAGCGUCAUUUCAACCCUCAAGCUCUGCUUGGUGUUGGGGAUCGGCAAGGCGUCCUCCGGGUCGCGCCGUCCCCCAAAUAUAGUGGCGGUCUCGCUGUAGCUUCCUCUGCGUAGUAAUACACCUCGCUCUGGAGUCUCGGUGCGACCACGCCGUAAAACCCCCAACUUUUUUCUGGUUGACCUCGAAUCAGGUAGGACUACCCGCUGAACUUAAGCAUAUCAAUAAGCGGAGGAAAAGAAACCAACAGGGAUUGCCCUAGUAACGGCGAGUGAAGCGGCAACAGCUCAAAUUUGAAAUCUGGCCCUCGGGUCCGAGUUGUAAUUUGUAGAGGAUGCUUUUGGUGAGGUACCUUCCGAGUUCCCUGGAACGGGACGCCAUAGAGGGUGAGAGCCCCGUCUGGUUGGAUACCAAACCUCUGUAAAGCUCCUUCGACGAGUCGAGUAGUUUGGGAAUGCUGCUCUAAAUGGGAGGUAUAUGUCUUCUAAAGCUAAAUACCGGCCAGAGACCGAUAGCGCACAAGUAGAGUGAUCGAAAGAUGAAAAGCACUUUGAAAAGAGAGUUAAAAAGUACGUGAAAUUGUUGAAAGGGAAGCGCUUAUGACCAGACUUGGACUUGGUUGAUCAUCCUGGGUUCUCCCUGGU